rnacentral:snRNA from 1 species
CAAUCCUAUUCGCCGUUCCCGGCG